rnacentral:misc_RNA from 1 species
GAUGAAGAACGUAGCGAAAUGCGAUAAGUAAUGUGAAUUGCAGAAUUCAGUGAAUCAUCGAAUCUUUGAACGCACAUUGCGCCCUCUGGUAUUCCGGAGGGCAUGCCUGUUCGAGCGUCAUUUCGACCCUCAAGCAUUGCUUGGUGUUGGGGCACCGCCUGUAAAAGGGCGGGCCCUGAAAUCUAGUGGCGAGCUCGCCAGGACCCCGAGCGUAGUAAUUAUAUUUCGUUCUGGAAGGCCCUGGCGGUGCCCUGCCGUUAAACCCCCAACUUCUGAAAAUUUGACCUCGGAUCAGGUAGGAAUACCCGCUGAACUUAAGCAUAUCAAUAACGGGAGGA